GAUGAACGCUGGCGGCGUGCCUAAUACAUGCAAGUCGAGCGAACCGGGGACGGGUGAUUAACACGUGGCUAACCUCCUAUAAGACUAGGAUAACUUCGGGACCCCUGAGCUCAACCCGAUCCUUAUAGAUGGAUCCGCGCUGCUUUAGCGAGUUUGUAAGGUAACGGCUUACCAAGGCAACGCUGCAUAGCCGACCUGAGAGGGUGAUCGGCCACAAUGGAACUGAGACACGGUCCAGAAUCCUCCGGGAGGCAGCAGUAGGGAAUCUUCCGCAAUGGGCGAAAGCCUGAUGGAGCAACGCCGCGUGAGUGAUGAAGGUCUUCGGAUCGUAAAACUCUGUUAUUAGGGAAGCGGUACCUAAGCAGAAAGCCACGGCUAACUCCGUGCCAGCAGCCGCGGUAAUAC
rnacentral:rRNA from 1 species